rnacentral:rRNA from 1 species
UGCCAGCAGCCGCGGUAAUACGAAGGGUGCUAGCGUUGUUCGGAAUUACUGGGCGUAAAGAGCAUGUAGGCGGAUGAAUUAGUCAGAGGUGAAAGCCCCGAGCUCAACUUGGGAACUGCCUUUGAUACUGUUUAUCUAGAGUCCGAGAGAGGUUAGUGGAAUUCCCAGUGUAGAGGUGAAAUUCGUAGAUAUUGGGAAGAACACCAGUGGCGAAGGCGGCUCACUGGAUCUCUUCUGACGCUGAGGAACGAAAGCUAGGGUAGCGAACGGGAUUAGAUA